GGCAAUAAAUAUCAGCAAGUCACAUUAAAACAAAUGACUGAAGUUCAUAUAGCUGCUGAAAAACACUUGAAUGCAGAUGAGCUGAUUUAAGUUUAGUUUGCCCCACGUCAUUUGAUGAAUAUCAAUAUAAUUCCUUAUUCAGAUAGAGUGGAUUUAAGCUCACUGUUACCUCGCAGCUCCAUCACUAUAUCACAACCUCCUACCAACUCACCUUUGCAGUAAAGCUGUGGAAAGGUUGGCCAGUUUGAGAAGGUCUUUAUCCCCCGUCUCACUUCUUCAUCAGCCAGAAUAUCAAAGGACCCAAAUUUCACACCCUCCUCCUUUAGGGCAUUGACUACUUUGGAGUUAAACCACAUCUUGGAGCAUCUGGGGUACCCUUCAUGAACAGCAUUACAGGAGAAGAUGUAAGCAGCUUCUUUAAUCGAUCCUCAAGAGUUUGCCCCUGACUAAUAAUCCCUUUCUCAGCUAAGACCUUGCUAAGCUCUCCACUUUUCUGCAUCUCCAAAACAAUGUCAGACCCACCGAUAAGUUCGCCCUUUAUGUAUAGCUGAGCAUAACUGGACCAGUUUGAAUAAACUUUGAGACCUUGCCGCACUUCUUCGUCGGAAAGAAUAUCAAAACUCUCAAAAUCCACAUUCUCUUCUUGAAGAAUGUCUGACUACUUUUUGGCUGAAACCGCAUUUGGGUUGAUCAGGCGCUAGUGGAAUCUGAUAUGCCUAAGGCUGUAAAAUAAGCAAACAAUUAGGGCUCGAUUUGUACUCGCUCGACUAAAAGUUCGAUUCGAAAUAUAAAUGAGUCAAAUUUUAAAGUUCGAUAAAUUACUCAAACCUCCUCAAAUUGUAAUUUUUUAUUGUUACUCGGAUCAUAUUUGUUCGAAAAGUUCAAACUGCUCGGGCUCGACUCGGUAGCUAAAUGAGCCUCAAUCAAACCUUAUUUUAUACUCGAUAAAUUAGUUCGACUAAGUUUGUUUACACCCUUAGAUAUGCCACCCUUUCCACCACCAGAUUCAGUCACUUUUGCCUCACUCGAAUUAGAAAUGUCAAUCCCAUGAUCCCUAAAGACUUCUGUUAAUUCACGAACCUCAUUGUCUGCUAGGAUAUCAAAGCUUCUGUCGGAGACACUUCGUAAGUCCAGGAUGAUUAAAUGUACAACUUUUUUAAUCAUUAAAAAAAUGAGCUAAGUUAUAUACAUUGAAAGGUAAAUGUGUCAUUAACUAAUAUAAAAAAAAUAUUAAUUAUUUUAUGUAAUCUUAUGGAGCAUAAAUUUAAAAUUUUAUUAUUCUAUUUUCUUUACUUUACUUUUUUUCCUAAUAUAUAUGAAAAAUGUACUUUACUCGUCAUUUUCAUUUUGAAGACGGUAGGAGUAAUAGAGUAAAUCUAAGUAGAUGCCAAGAUAAUAAGAUAUGGUAGGUUGUUACAAGUUUUAGAACCUGAAAUAGCUUGCAUUGGAACAAUGGCAAUUAUUUGCAUGUCUUCACCCUCAAAUUAUAAUUACGAAACAUAUUAAUACAUGAGAGAUAUAGAUUUAUAAAAGAGUCUCACCUAUUACACGUAACUAGUAAUCGACAAAAACAUUCAAAAUACUUCAAACAAAUCCCAAUUUGUCAUGACCACAGUAAGCUUAUGAUAGCGGCUGCUUCUUCCACAUUUCCCGACCCUUCCAAAUACUUCAAACAAAUCGCCAAAGCUUCCUUGCUGGGCUUCCAGUUAGGUAGACUCAGGGGAAUUGCUUUCUUCACAGCUUCCACAGCUUUUGGGAAUUGAUUAUCUGCGAUAUAUGCACCCGCCAAAUAACACCAUGUAUUAACUGUCGGAAUCCCCCCUUUGCCGAUUCCCCUAUUUAAAAGGGCUUCGGCCUUUUCUAAUUGGCUAUUUCUGCAGUAAGUUUCAAUCAAGAAGUUUGGAAUCCGGAAAUCAUAGGAUAAACCCCUUCCUUCCCAUUCCUCAAAAAUCUUUUUAGCACCUUCAAUAUCAUUAAACUUUGAUAGGGAGCUCAUCAUACUCAUAUAACCCCUGUUGAAGACUUUCCACUCCUUGUACAGAUUCCAUAUCCGGUACAAUUCAUCUUUCUUCCCUGUUUCAGCAUACAAUUUGAGUAAAAUAUCAAAACCAGCAUACUUAUUCUUGGAGAUUUUUGUACAUUUCUCCAUCUUUUUCAGCAUUUCUAAAGCUUUGUCCUCUAACCCGAUUUUCAGGUACCCACUUGCUGCAACAGAAUAAAUAGUGUAGUUCAAAACAAUCCUAGGAUCAGAUUCCAUCCUUGUAACUAUUUUAUCUAUUCCCUCGCUAUCGGAAACAGCAGCAUAUGCACUAAGGCGGAUCGAGAAUGUAUAGUUGUCACAGUAGAUGCCUUUUUCUUCCAUUUCACGCAUCAGGAUGUCUAGCUUCUCCCAACUUCCCAUCUGAUAAUAUAGAUUCAUUAAAAUAUUGUAGCUCAAUGGUGUCCUUGCAAUCCCAAUAUCCCUUAAUUUCUGCAUGAUGCUCUCUGCUUUUUCCACAGAUUUAUCUUUGCAAUAGCAGUUAAGAAGGGCAGUGUAAAUGUCAAAGCGUUUUAAUUUUUGUGGAAUCCUAUCGAAAUAUUUCUCUACUAGUUCCAAACCAUGAACUCUAUACAUCAAACUAAUCCUGGUUGCCAUAUCAUCUGAUGAAAUGGGAAUGUAUCUGUUAUCUGUCAUCCACAGAGAUAUCUGGGAAGAAAAUUCAGAGUCUGAAUUUUAAACUACAUCCUCUCACAGCCAAACAAAGCAGACUAUUCAAAAACCAAAGAAUUACAAAAACCAUUCAAGCCCCCAAGCCUUGGACAGUAAACUCGGACAAAAAUACACAUAUCAAGAUUCCUAAACAGCCAACUUAAAAUGUGGUUGAUGCAGAAAAAAUUCUGGAAAGUUUUAGGGAUGAGAUAAUUUGAACAUGAAAAAUUACCAAAAGAUAAUCUCAGAAGUCGCAACAAAUUCAUUUCAAGCAUUGUAAAGUUUCAAACCCUUCAUUAAUUUGAUGCGGUAUUCUGCUAGACCCCAACCAAAUAAAGGCGGUAGAGGACCUCCUAGGGUCUAGACGGAGCUUUAGAAGAAUUUUUAGAACACUUGUUUUUUAAAAAUCUCCGUUGAUAAGAUUAUACUUUUGUCAAUUUUAACCAUCGAAUUUUAAGGUCCCUGAUUGAAACUUUUUGGUUUAGUCCCUAAGGACCACACUAGAGUUCUACUGAAGCUUUCAAAGUUAUUUCACUUAACAUUACUGCCAGAGUUCCAGCACGGCAACUGGUAGGUACUACAACAAACAAGUGAUGCAUUAUGGUUUCCCUAUUUACUAAAAAACUGCUCAGGCAAUAUCAUUGUCGAAGAAAAUCCAGUAAAAAGUGUAACAUGUGCCAAUGUAGUUUACAUCUAAUUCAGACAUACAUAAUAUUUACUGUUGGGUCAUGAUAUUUCCCCUAUUUGGGCCAAGUAAAUUGGGCUCAUUUAUUUAAUUAGUCUAUGGGGCCUUCAUUACUGAAACUUGAAAGUUAUUGGGCCUAGUCUUCAUAUUAUUGCCAUUAAACCUUAGGGAACCGGGUCGAUCCAUUAGAUUAACCCAUUAGACAUUUUAAUAUCUAUUACUUUGACUUGCAAUGAUGAAAAAGCAUGACAGUUGACUAAGACACCUGCCAUGCAUUAAUGUGGAUGAGAUUAUAGCCGGUCGGCGGCAUAAACAAUAACCAAAGGUAGUGGGUAGGCUGCAUGCAGUCGGUAGAGCCCAUCAGAUCAGGGGGCUGUGUCAGUUAGUAGUGAUUGGCACGGUAAACCGGGCGAGAGAGUAUAACCUAUCAACCAAGUCUUCACAACCAGGUACGUUCACAUUCAUAUUCACACACACACAACGGAGAAUUAUUAUCACUCUCUUAAUAUACUAGACAUUACAUCCUCCAUUGUUAACCUUGUGAACACGUAUACUGACUCUCACGCCUGAGCUAUCCCCCGACGGUCGAAGCCGUCAAGCUUUUGGUGUCUUAUCGUGUUUACUGUGCAGGAUCAGGACGUCUUACGUGAUUGGGACGUGGCAGAAGAUUUUGGCGUUAACAUUGGCGCUAGAAGGAGGGCAGUUCUAGUGUCAUUGAAAUUUUCAAUCACAUCCAUUUAAUCUACUUCGGAAGAUGGUGAGGAGUAGAGACGGUACGCCGGAGGGGCAGGCGAUGGCUGUAAGUUCGUCACUGCCUCGUAUUUCGGUAAAGGAUCGUCGUGCUCACAAGAGCACGGCCUCUAAACAUAAUUCGAGUGAUCUCCGUCCGAAGAUCCACGGUGGAGCCAGACAGAGGUUGGUCUUUGAUGCUGAUAAAAGGCAUGAUCGUGGUCGGGGGCGAGCAGAGGGCUCACCGACUAGGACUCAUCGCCGAAGUGGUCAGGAGGAUAGAGCUGCCAAGUUGGCGAGGAUGGCAGACGAAGCAGAUAAAGCCUUGGAGGUCCUGUUAAAGCAGAGGGAAGAUAUAGCCGAGCAGAUGCUUCGGGUGGCGGAGUUAAGGGACGAAGCAUCUAGCCAUGUUCAGUCCGAAAGACGGAGUAAGCAUAAGGAUAUGCCACGACGAGAGGGGAAAGAGCCGGAGCAUUCCAUACAUGUGUCUAGGGAUCGUUCUCACGGUAGAAGGAGAUCAAGGAGCAGAACUCCCGUGGCCUCGAAGAAGGCACUGGUGGUCGUUGGUUCUCAUCAUCGAGACGAUCGAGCCCCAUGAAGGAGCGUUAAUGAUCACUGCACAAGUAGGCUCGGUGGAUGUGAAGCGUAUGAUGAUAGACAACGGGUCUUCUGUAGAUAUUUUGUAUGCCCACGCUUAUCAGAGGAUGCAUCUUGAUGGGCGAAAGAUGGAGGUCAGGCAAGAGGCUCCUUUAUAUGGCUUCAGCAACGAUCCAGUCAAAGUUGCGGGAACUAUCGAGCUCCCAGUGAUCUUCGGCACAGCUCCUCGGCAGGUAGAAAUAAUGUGUAAAUUUUAUGUUGUGUAUGUAGAUUCGGCUUACAACGCCAUAUUGGGAAAGCCUACACUGACAGCUCUCCAAGCCGUGACUUCCAUCCCUCAUUUCAAGAUCAAGUUCCCCACGGCGCAUGGAGUAGGAGAGGUGGCGGUGGAUUUGGAUCUGGCCCGACGAUGUUAUCAGAACGCAGUUAUUUCCUCCGGAGUGGGGGUCAGCAAACAGAAACAAACCAUGGCAAUUGAGAUCGAGCCCUUCACUAAAAGCAGCUCGGAGCCAUUAGUGAUUCCUGCAGGAGAGACAGAAGAGAUCGAGCUAUUCCUUGGAAAGCCAGACAAGACGGUGAAGAUUGGUUCGGGUCUGCCAGAACCUCUUCGGACAAAUCUUAUGGAACUCCUUCGAUGCUAUGCAGACAUCUUUGCCUGGGAACCACAAGAUAUGCCAGGGAUUAGCCGAAAGGUUGCCGAGCACAGACUGGAGGUGGAUCUAUCGAAGAAGCCCGUUCGGCAAAAAAGACGGAUCUUUGCACCAGAGCGACAGAGGAUUAUAGAUGAGGAGAUCGCCAAGCUGAUAGCUGCUGAUUUUAUCUUUGAGAUCGAUUACCCACAGUGGAUGGCUAAUGUGGUGUUGGUGCAGAAGCAGAACGGAAAAUGGCGGGUUUGCAUCGACUACACCGACCUGAAUAAAGCUUGUCCGAAGGACUUUUAUCCUCUGCCCCAUAUUGAUCAACUCAUCGAUGCCACUUCAGGGUAUGCAUUACUAAGCUUUAUGGAUGCUUUUUCAGGUUAUCAUCAAAUUUUCAUGUGCAAGGAGGACAUUCCGAAGACAGCAUUCAUUACGCACCGUUCGGUGUAUGCCUAUAACAAGAUGACCUUUGGCCUUAUAAAUGCUGGAGCCACCUACCAAAGAAUGAUGAAUUUCAUAUUCGAUAAACAGCUGGGGAGGAACAUGGAGGUGUACGUAGAUGAUAUGAUCGUGAAAAGCAUGCAAGUCCAAAAGCACUUGGAUGAUUUGGAAGAAUGCUUUCAGACUGUCCGUCACCACAAGUUGAGGCUCAAUCCAGCAAAGUGUACCUUCGGACUCAGUGCAGGGAAGUUCCUGGGGUAUCUGGUCAGUCAGAGGGGCAUUGAAGCCAAUUCGGAGAAGAUCCAGGCCAUUCUUGACAUGAAGACUCCUCAGUCGUUCAAAGACGUCCAACGUCUGACUGGCAGGAUUGCAGCUCUGAGGAGGUUUAUGUCGAAGUCUGCGGAGAGAUGCUUGCCGUUCUUCGACACAUUGAAGGGGCCGGAGAGAUGCAUCCGGUCUAUUAUGUCAGUCACGUCCUGCGAGAUGCUGAAACCAGGUAUCCUAAUAUUGAGAAAUUUGCCUUUGCUUUAAUAAUUGCUAGUCGCAAGCUUCGGCAAUAUUUUCAAGGUCGGCUCCUGGUCGUUUACACGGAUCAGCCAUUGAAGAAGGUGAUGGCCAAGCCAGAGGUCUCAGGAAGAUUAGCAGCAUGGACUAUGGAGUUAUCACAAUUUUUCAUUGAAUAUCAUCCCCGAACUGCUAUCAAGGGUCAAGCCUUGGCCGACUUUAUGGUGGAAUGUUCAUUCACCGAAGCAGAUGCUGAACUGCCAGAAGCAGAGACAUCCGAUCUAGCAGUUGCAGUUCUUCAGCAGGGUCAGAGCGUAUGGACGUUGUAUGCAGAUGGAUCCUCUACGAUAAAUAUCAGUGGGGCAGGGAUUAUCUUGACCAGUCCGGAGGGAUUCAAAGUACAGCAAGCCAUCAGAUUCGGGUUUAAGGCGACAAACAAUGAGGCUGAGUAUGAAGCGGUGUUAGCAGGAGUUCGACUAGCGAAGAGUCUAGAAGUUCAGAAGAUAAUCAUUUACAGUGACUCUCAGUUGGUCGUCAAACAACUGUCAGGAGAAUAUGAAGCUCGCGGGACGAGGAUGAUCAAGUAUUUGGCAGAGUUGAAAAACAGACUUCAGUACUUUUUCUCUUAUGAGUUUCAGGGCAUCGAGCGUAACGAUAAUUCCAUUGCCGAUGCACUGUCGAAGCUGGCCACUACGGAUGCAGAUGUUUUCAACGGAUCGGUUUAUUUGGAGGUUUUGCAGCAGCCGAGUGUUCAGCAUGAAGCGGUGAUGUGAAUCGAGCGAUCUAACUGCUGGAUGACUCCCUACAUCGAAUAUUUGACAGACGGCGUCCUUCCUUCGGAUCAGAUGUUGGCAAAAAAGAUCAAGUACAAGAGUGUCAACUUCGUUCUAAUUGAUGGGGAUCUUUAUCGAAGGGCAUUUUCGUCGCCACUAUUGAAGUGUCUAAUCCCGUCUGAAGCUGAAUAUGCCCUUCGGGAGGUUCAUGAAGGUAUCUGCGGCGAUCACAUGGCUGCUAAGUCAUUGGCAUACAAGGUUCUUCAGCAGGGGUACUACUGGCCAACGAUCUUCAAGGAAGCUACCGAGUAUGUGAAGAAGUGUGAGAAGUGUCAGCUCAACAGUCCGAUCCCACAUCAGCCACCAGAAGAGCUAUACUCGAUUCUAUCUCCUAUACCCUUUGCUGUCUGGGGGGUUGAUAUAUUGGGUCCAUUGCCAAAAGCUAAGGGACAGGUUAGCUUCGUAAUAGUUGCUAUUGAUUACAUGACCAAGUGGGUAGAGGCGAAGCCACUUCGGUUGAUAACGGAGCAAGAAUGUUUGAAGUUCAUAAAAGAGUCCGUAAUAUUUCGCUUCGGAAUUCCUAAAGUGGUGAUAUCAGACAAUGGACGCCAGUUCGUGGGAUCAAAAUUUGAAGGAUUUUUGAAGGAGCUGGGGGUUCAGCACAAGAAGACUUCGGUGGCUCACCCACAGUCAAAUGGGCAAGUUGAGGUGACCAACGGGACGCUGCUGAACGGGAUCAAGCGCAGACUGGAUGAAGCUAAAUGAAGAUGGCCAGAAGAGCUGCUCAGCGUGCUGUGGGCUUACUGGACUACACCGAGGACCACCACAGGGGAUUCACCUUUUCGACUGGCCUAUUGUACUGAUGCCUUAGUCCCAGUCGAAAUUGGAUCUCCAAGUCUUCGGGUCAGUCAAUUCAAAGAGAUCUACAAUGACGAAGGACUGAAGGCCAACUUGGAUCUGCUAGAAGAAGUCAGAGAGGUAGCUUUGCUCAAAUUGGCUGCUUAUCAACGAAGAGUAGCUAAGCAUUAUAACAAAGGGGUCAAACUUCUCAAAUUCGAAGUAGGGGACUUCGUCCUUAGAGAAGCCGAAGCAUCUACAUCUCAAAACACGGGAAAGUUAAUGCCGAACUGGGAAGGGCCGUAUGAGAUGACCGAAGUACCAAAGCCAGGCACUUAUCGGUUAAAGGCAUUAGAUGGGUCCGAGAUCAAGAACACCUGGCAUGCCGGAAGACUUCGGAAGUAUUUUCAAUAGAAAUCGAGUUAAUUUACCGGAAGUCUGUACAUGACCGUCCAUUAUCAAUAAAAAGUCACUUUUUUACAAAUGAUCUUCUUCCUAUUUGUCCUAAGUUCACAAUGGUGUAAGGAGGUAUGGUAGGACUCGUUGGCCAUUCGAUGGCAGCCCACUUAUUUGUUACCCCGUGUGGUAGACAAAUCCUAUGAUCNNNNNNNNNNNNNNNNNNNNNNNNNNNNNNNNNNNNNNNNNNNNNNNNNNNNNNNNNNNNNNNNNNNNNNNNNNNNNNNNNNNNNNNNNNNNNNNNNNNNGAGUGGUAAACAAAGGUCCUUAUAUACUUGUUCUACCCCGAGCGGUAAGCAAGAUCUUGUUGUUGCAAAGAGGAUCAGCCGAAUUCACCUUACACAUGACUGAUCUCACACUUCGGUACCGAUAAGUAUACAUUACUUUAUUUUAUUCAAGUGUUGAGUUCAGUUCAUUCAAUUCAGUUCAGUCAAAUUCUGUCCAUAAAAUUCAAUUCACUUCAUUUCAUAAAUUAACUGUUAUAUGCCUUAGCUGAUUCACUAUCUAAGUUCAGUUCAUUGAUACUGAAUUAUUGACAAGAAACUAACCAAAACAGAAGUCAUAAUCAAGAAAGUUGAAGAUUCAUUGAUAAAGUAAAACAUUCAUUCAUUUGAUUCAUCCAUAACAUUAACUAAUUACACAAGCAUAGAAAUACUGUCAAAAUCCUUACAUAAAGUUUCAAACAGUCCCAAAAACAUAAACAGUUUAAAUAGUUAAUUUUUACAUAGUCAGAACAAAGCAGGAAGGACAUUCAGGCACCACCUUCGUCGUCGGAGUUAAGAAGAGCCGGAUCCAGCUGAGCAGCAGAUAACUUCUCUUUACUUCGCUCUCGGCAGUCUUCAUACCCCUCUGAAUAGACCUUCAGGAUUUCGGCAUUAAGCUCAUCUGACUCCCUAUAGUCCGUCUGAAUCUGCUUCCGCAGCUCUUCGGUCAAAAGAGGGCCCCGUCCCUCAAGUUCUUUUAUUUUAUGAUGAAGUUUGUGGCGCUUGGCUUUAUGUCUUCGCUUCUCGUCCUGGGCCUUCGCCUGAGCCUCGCCAAGUUGAAUCGCCAAGCCUCGGUUGGCUGAGGCGAACUCCUCAUUUUUGGCCUUCAGGAGCAGGUUCUCCUCGACCAGGCCGACGUUCAUAUCAGUUAAAGCUUGUUGACUGGCUUCGGACGCAGCCAGCUCAUCCCUUGUGGCCCUUAGCUCGUCGUCAGACGUCUUCAAGUCCAUCCUAGCUCGAUCUAGGUCUCUUUGAAGGCCGUCGAUAGUAUGAAGAGCGUCUUCAUGAUCGACCCUUUCUCGAGCCAGGGUCGAUUUCAGCAUGUUGAUCUCCUGUCUCAUGAAAUCCUCCUCGGCCUCACCAUUUAUGUGCCUCGGACGUAAACACCCGAAGACAGCGUUGGCCUGCAUAUGUUCAACAAUGUUCAAAUCAGUGUUCAGAUAUCUAAACAAGAGCAGAAAAAUAGAAAAUAAGGAAACUGUUACUUACCUUAGCCAAAUAGCUUAUCCCCUCGUCAAGCAGAUUUCCGUCCGUAUGGUCACUGAACCGAUGAUCAUCAGUGUCCCGGACGAAGGCUUCGAAAAGACUGAAGGGGAAAUUUGCAUUGAAUCGAGGCCACAGAGUCGGGGACCCCAUAGCCUCAACAUGAUAACCCUGACCUGAAGGCCCGGGUCGUUCGGGGGAUGGUCUCGGCCUUUCAGGAGAAGGAACUGGCUGUUCGAGAGGAGGAGUUGGGUCCGCAUAUACAGUCUCGGGAGAGGGAGAUCUGUUCGGAAUGGGUUCCCGUGGAGAUGGGGCAGAUGCAGAACUCGGAUGGCUGUCAGAUGAACGCUUCCUCUUCCUGGACAGCGUUGGAACAGUUUCGUCCUGCUCACCUUCUUCGGCAAUCUGUAUUUCUACAGGGGGCACGAAGGGUGGGAUGGUUGAAGAGUGAGGCACCCUGAGCUCUUCGGCGGUCAGGGGGGUUAUUUUGGUUUUUAGUUUCUUGAUUCGGAGGAGACUUCUUCGAUCGGGGCGAUCGAGCAAGCCUCCUCGUGGGGGGAUUGAUUUGGUGGUUGGCUCAGUUUCUGGGAUGGCUUCAGAGGGGCUGGGAAGAGGUGUUGAUCGGGGUUUUCUAACGGCCCUCCUCUUCUGACGAGGACGAAGGGUCUCUUCCGGUACAGGAACCUCAUCAGCUUCUGGUUCUUCUGUUCGGAACUCGUCGGUGUGUAUCUCAGGAGUUGGCUCAGCUUCGGGGAUAGCUUCUGUUGGUGGAUUCUCAGCAGCUUCCAAAGAUUUCCCAGACAGAAAAUCUUCAAACUCCUUCAUUUCUGAGGAGCUCGGUCUGAUCAAAGAUACUGCACGAAACAAACAGCCCUAUGUUAGAUUCCACAUCAUAAAAACUUUUUCAAAUAUUUAUAUAUAAAAUAGACCGAUACUUACAUUUAUGGUCAUAUAACCAUACCUGCUUCGAGAGGAGUCCAUACUUCCACUCCUCCUUAGGAAAAUUGUCGAAAAGCUCCAUCAUCUCAGCUUCCCGUUCUUCAGAAAUAUCUCCGAAGUCAGCGGAGAUCUUCUCGUCAGUGGCCCAGUUCGGUAAAGAAGAGAUUUCAGGACCUUUGACGAAGAACCACUUCUCGUGCCAUCCUCUAUUGCUCGAAGGAGUGUUCACCAACGAACGCCUCUCGAACUUUUCCCCCGACUUCGGAGAGUGUUUGCUGAGAGCCUUGAACCCCUUCUCUCUGGACUGGACGAUCUUGUACACAGUGAAAAAGAAGUCGAGAGAAGGCUCAACGCCCAACUCAUGGCAGAAAGCAACAAAGGCCAAGAUGUGAAUAUAAGAAUUUGGUACCAAUUGGGCGAACCCCAUGCCCAGAAACCCUAGGAUAGUCACUAUGAAGACGUGUAGAGGGAAACGGACCCCCUUCUCAAGUAAGGUCACAGGGACGGCCGUCAAACUUUCUGGCCGUUGGUACAUUUUCUCACCGGAUCUGGGAGCCCUAGCCGCGUGAGUAUCCGGGAUGUGAUAUCGAGAUCGAAUCCUCUUUAACUCGGCUUCAGUGACAACAGAGGGAGUGUUGGCGUGCGAGAAACGUUCCGUAUUCCUGUAGUAUUCAGAAGGAGUUUUGGGGAUUUUUGGAGGAGGAUUCUUAUCGGUUUUCGUUCCUUUGGGAUUCGAGGUCGAGGCUUCUUUGCGGGGAUUAGGGUUUGGAGGAACGGUGUUGAUCGGUGUUACUAGGAGGGGUGAACUUUGCUCGGAAUCUUGAGAAGCCAUUUUUGACAGUUCGCAGAGGAGGAAAGAGAGUUCAGAGGAGAAGAAAACUCAAAAGGCGCUCGAAUUUCAAAUGGGCAGGUAAAACUGUCAAAUUUGGUAAAGUUUAUCUUUUAUACUGAUGGUUACACGGUGUACAAUGCCGGCACAUUAAAUGUUAGUAAUGAUUUAGAAUUUGAAUGGGAAGCGCCCGGUUCCGGGUCCAGAUAUUUAUCAGACAGGGCCUUUCUGAUUUGGGCCUCCGGUCUCCUCUCAUUUCAUCUCAUGAACCAUAACCGGGUACAUUUCGAUUACUUCUCAUUAUGGACCUUUAAUAAAGUAUCAUGGGCCAUUUAUAGUUUUCUAUUAAAAAUUCUGUUUAAUAAAAAACGAGGGGACAAUGUUGGGUCAUGAUAUUUCCCCUAUUUGGGCCAAGUAAAUUGGGCUCAUUUAUUUAAUUAGUCUAUGGGGCUUUCAUUACUGAACCUUGAAAGUUAUUGGGCCUAGUCUGCAUAUUAUUGCCAUUAAACCUUAGGGAACCGGGUCGAUCCAUUAGAUUAACCCAUUAGACAUUUUAAUAUCUAUUACUUUGACUUCCAAUGAUGAAAAAGCAUGACAGUUGACUAAGACACCUGCCAUGCAUUAAUGUGGAUGAGAUUAUAGCCGGCCGGCGGCAUAAACAGUGACCAAAGGUAGUGGGUAGGCUGCAUGCAGUCGGCAGAGCCCAUCAGAUCAGGGGGCUUUGUCAGUUAGUAGUGAUUGGCACGGUAAACCGGGCAAGAGAGUAUAACCUAUCAACCAAGUCUUCACAACCAGGUACGUUCACAUUCAUAUUCACACACACACAACGGAGAAUUAUUAUCACUCUCUCAAUACACUAGACAUUACAUCCUCCAUUGUUAACUUUGUGAACACGUAUACUGACUCUCACGCCUGAGCUAUCCUCCGACGGUCGAAGCCGCCAAGCUUUUGGUGUCUUAUCGUGUUUACUAUCAGGACGUCUUACGUGAUUGGGACGUGGCAGAAGAUCUUGGCGUUAACAUUUACCGCAAGCGUCCCAACUUAUAUUGCAUCCCCUACAUUUCAGUUGUCUCAAACCUAUUUUUAAUUGCUAUGAACAUUAUAAAUUAUAUUUAGUUUUAUCACCUUUUUGAAAUUUAACAAAAUUUCACCUCUGGAAAAUUAAUUGUGGACAACUAAAUUGGGACAGGAUGAAAAAAUCAAGACAAAAUUAAUGUAAAGCCAUAAUCUAAAGCAAAAUUGGAUCAAAUGAAUAAUGAUACAAAAAUCAUUUAAUAAGAUUAAAAGGGUGAAAAGAAAAACCUCAAGGGCGUGUUUGAACCGUUUAUAAUUUUUCAACUCACGGAUGAUGUCCUGAAGCUCUUGUUUCCGGAUCUCUCUUCCUUCCAGGACCCAUUGAUCGAGAACUGGCACAACCGAAAUGCUAGGGUCACCGAUUGGCGAUAUCCUUUUGUAGAGUGAUUCGGGUAGUAACCCGUUUAGGGUUUGUGUUGUGCUGAAGAAAUGGCGCAAGGUUUUUCCAUAAGCAGGAUUUUGGCGUGAACCCAGUAAGCUAGAAAGCUUCAUCUGGUGAGAGAAUCCUUUACCAGUUUGUCUGUUCGUUUGGUGGACAGACUUGUCACGUACAACCGCUGACAUUCGCCUCAUAUACAUAUUUUGAUACAUAUCCUACAUGUCAAAAUAUGUAUAUAAAAAAUGUUAAUUGGGCCUUCUCAAUCUUUUCUGGUUUUCAGAAUUUGUUGUCGUUUUCUUUUCUUUUUUUAAUUUCAAAUUAUUCCUUUCUCCCUUAUUCAAAAUGCCUAAAUAUGGAUUUGUAGUUGAACUUUAAUUUAUUUUUAUUUUUUCAUUUUGAGAUUGUCUUUUCAAUUAGGAGAUUAAGUUCUUACUUUACUUUAGGAUUAUUUUCUCAAUUUUUUUAAUUAGGAAAUUAAAUUUUUAAUUAUUUUUUAUUACGUCCAGUUGAUAGUACCGCAUCACAAACUGAUGACAUGGCAGCAACACGUAGCUAAAAAAUAUUUGUGUAAUAUUGAGUCUCAAUUUAACAUUCAUUCCGUUAAUUUUUUAUAUCAAAAAAGUUAAAUAUAAGAUCAGUAUUUAUUUUGUAAAGUAAAUUUAACACAUUAUGAACUCAACUUAAAAAAUUAUCAAUAUAUUGAUAAAUUUUUUAAAAUGUAUAAAUGUAUUAUUAAUUAAAAUAUUGUUAUUUCAUAAUCAUCAAUAAUCAAUAUAAUGAUAUUUUCACUCUUUUUGGUAUGAAAAAAUAAGGCCUAAAUAUAAAUUAAUACCAUAAACUUUAAGUUUAUUUCAUAAUCAUCAAUAAUCAAUAUAAUUAAUUUUUUAUACAAAAAGGGUAAAUUUGUCAUUAAAAAACUAAUAAUGGUCUUAUAUUUACCUUUUUUGGUAUAAAAAUUUAAUUGAAUAAAUGUUAAAAUGAGACUCAAUAUUACACAAGUAUUUUCUUAGUCACGUGUCGCUAUCAUGUUAUCAUUUUUUUGACGUGACAUUAUAAUUAGAUGUAAUAAGAAGAAAUUAAAAGUUUAAUCUCUAAAUUGAAAAUUUUGAAAAAACAAUCCUCAAAGUGAAAAAAAAUUAAAAGUUUAAUUUCAUAAUAGAAAAAAUUGAAAAGACACCCCCAAAACUAGAAUUUUUUUAAAAAAAUUUUAGGAUAUUUAGGCCUAUUAAAAGUAAGUACAUUGUUUUGGACCUUUGGUGUUUAUAUUUAAAAGCUAAAUAUGGGACUAAUAGGAGCCUUACCUUGAAUUUUCCCCUCUUUUUUCAAAUUUAAAUAUGAGACUAAUGGUAGCCUUAACUUGAAGAGUCAUCUCCCUUUUUUGUUUAUAAGUUUUGGUUGCAAUUAAUCUUUCUACAUAUAUAAGGCGUUUUUGUCAUAAAUACGCAUAUCAAAUGACCAACAAUGUAAAUUUGAAUGAGAAAGGGAAAUUAUAUGUGAGAAAUGACUUGGUGUUAAUCAUAAUGUUGUUUCUAUUAACGUGAGGUUUUAGGAGGUAUUUGAUAAAAAUUGAAUGAGUUGAAUAUGAAUGAAAAAAUAUAUUUGAUAAUUGACAUGUCUAAAAUAUGUGAAUAACAGAUUUUUAUUAUUUUAUUCAUCUAAAAAAAUUCAAAAUUGUUAUAAAUUUAUUUAAUAUUACUUAAUAUAAUAGUUAAUAUUGUAAAAAAGAAAGAAAGAAAUUCAUUCAGCCCUCCUUCAGCCAAAAAAAUGACACUAAACCAUUUAGCCCAAAUUGUCUGAAUGGCUGACCGAUUUAGUCAUUCAGACAAUUUUUUUUCCAAAACAAACGCACUUAAUGACUUACCAAUUCAGCUAUUCAGUUCUAAACAAACAACCCGUUAGCGUAGUUACGUAUAGUAUAAAAUAUGACUCCAUAAAUAAGAAAUAGUAACCUCAAUGGGAAGUGUUUUGUAACAUUAAACUUUUUCAAUAUUCUAAUUUUCCAUUGGUCUAGAUCGAUUUUUCUUACGUUCUGAAUAAAUUAUUUGUGUGAUAUUUUCUUAGAAUAACAUAACCAUUUAUCAUGUGAAUUAAUUAAUUUAUUUAUUGAUAUUAUUAUUAUUAUUUCAUUACAACAAGGGAAUGUAAAUUAGCUAGUUGAAGUGAUAACCAGGAUAUAAAGCACCAGUGGUCUAGUGGUAGAAUAGUACCCUGCCUCGAUACAGACCCGUGUUCGAUUCCCGGCUGGUGCACAAACCUUAUUUGCGGGGUGAUAGCUAAGUUGGGAGAGCGUCAAAAUUCUUUUUUCAAUUUUUGCUACCACUAUAUUAUGAACAAAACCUAAAGGAGCUAUUCAGUAUUCACUAGCAAAAUCCUUCUACAUAAAAUGGAAGGCUAGAAACUAAAAAAUGGCCUUGACCAUAACCAUCAGAUAUCUUUCCAUGAUGAGAAAAAUUGCAAGAGGCAACUGCUAAUCUGCUAUUAAUUUCAAGUACCAUACGAUGUAAUUGUUGGGUGUUCCGAGAAAUGAUUACAUGACAAGGCCGUUAGAGUAGAAAGGAAGUAUUAUAAGAUGAUUGGGGGAAAGUGCAGCAGGUUUGCUGGAGAAAGAUUUAUGACUAAUUGACUAUAUUGCAUGAAAGAAGCAGCACAUGUUUGUGUGGGGCAGUUGAGGCAAUCCCAGCGGACUGAUCCAACCCAGGGGCCGGGGCUGCUACCCCUUUAGUUGCUGUUAAAGAUUGAUCAUGGUUCCUUAUUAAGGGGAAUAGUAGCAUGUGUUGGAACUCGGAAGCAUGUUAAGUGACUAGAAACUUUGGAAAACUGUAAUCAAAUUUAACUAGAAUUGCCUCAAAGAAAGUAUAACCCUUUUUCAAAGCUGUUCAAAUGCACCUCAGCCAGAGAAGAUUAUAAAAGCACACCAAUGUUUAAUCCAUUGAUCACACAAAUCAUGAGAGAGAGGGAGAGACUACAAAUGACUUUAGUUUAUAAGCAAAUGCUGUAAAUGCACAAAUGAGCACACAAGUGACUAGAAAAAUUACCUGCAUUUGCAAACAUAAGCCAACACCACACUAAAGCUUGACACAAUGUUUUGGAUCAAAAUUUGUAAAUUCAGCCAUCAAUUACAGUUUGGCAAUAAAUAUCAGCAAGUCACAUUAAAACAAAUGACUGAAGUUCAUAUAGCUGCUGAAAAACACUUGAAUGCAGAUGAGCUGAUUUAAGUUUAGUUUGCCCCACGUCAUUUGAUGAAUAUCAAUAUAAUUCCUUAUUCAGAUAGAGUGGAUUUAAGCUCACUGUUACCUCGCAGCUCCAUCACUAUAUCACAACCUCCUACCAACUCACCUUUGUAGUAAAGCUGUGGAAAGGUUGGCCAGUUUGAGAAGGUCUUUAGCCCCUGUCUCACUUCUUCAUCAGCCAGAAUAUCAAAGGACCCAAAUUUCACACCCUCCUCCUUUAGGGCAUUGACUACUUUGGAGCUAAAACCACAUCUUGGAGCAUCUGGGGUACCCUUCAUGAACAGCAUUACAGG
rnacentral:lncRNA from 1 species